rnacentral:rRNA from 1 species
UGGGGAAUUUUGGACAAUGGGCGAAAGCCUGAUCCAGCAAUGCCGCGUGUGUGAAGAAGGCCUUCGGGUUGUAAAGCACUUUUGUCCGGAAAGAAAUCCUCUGGGUUAAUACCUCGGGGGGAUGACGGUACCGGAAGAAUAAGCACCGGCUAACUACGUGCCAGCAGCCGCGGUAAUACGUAGGGUGCAAGCGUUAAUCGGAAUUACUGGGCGUAAAGCGUGCGCAGGCGGUUUUGUAAGACGGAUGUGAAAUCCCCGGGCUUAACCUGGGAACUGCAUUCGUGACUGCAAGGCUAGAGUAUGGCAGAGGGGGGUAGAAUUCCACGUGUAGCAGUGAAAUGCGUAGAGAUGUGGAGGAAUACCGAUGGCGAAGGCAGCCCCCUGGGCCAAUACUGACGCUCAUGCACGAAAGCGUGGGGAGCAAACAGGAUUAGAUACCCUGGUAGUCCACGCCCUAAAACGAUGUCAACUAGUUGUUGGGGAUUCAUUUCCUUAGUAACGUAGCUAACGCGUGAAGUUGACCGCCU